AGACCCGAAACCCGGUGAUCUAGCCAUGGGCAGGUUGAAGGUUGGGUAACACUAACUGGAGGACCGAACCGACUAAUGUUGAAAAAUUAGCGGAUGACCUGUGGCUGGGGGUGAAAGGCCAAUCAAACCGGGAGAUAGCUGGUUCUCCCCGAAAGCUAUUUAGGUAGCGCCUCGUGAAUUCAUCUCCGGGGGUAGAGCACUGUUUCGGCUAGGGGGCCAUCCCGGCUUACCAACCCGAUGCAAACUGCGAAUACCGGAGAAUGUUAUCACGGGAGACACACGGCGGGUGCUAACGUCCGUCGUGAAGAGGGAAACAACCCAGACCGCCAGCUAAGGUCCCAAAGUCAUGGUUAAGUGGGAAACGAUGUGGGAAGGCCCAGACAGCCAGGAUGUUGGCUUAGAAGCAGCCAUCAUUUAAAGAAAGCGUAAUAGCUCACUGGUCGAGUCGGCCUGCGCGGAAGAUGUAACGGGGCUAAACCAUGCACCGAAGCUGCGGCAGCGACACUGUGUGUUGUUGGGUAGGGGAGCGUUCUGUAAGCCUGUGAAGGUGUGUCGUGAGGCAUGCUGGAGGUAUCAGAAGUGCGAAUGCUGACAUAAGUAACGAUAAAGCGGGUGAAAAGCCCGCUCGCCGGAAGACCAAGGGUUCCUGUCCAACGUUAAUCGGGGCAGGGUGAGUCGACCCCUAAGGCGAGGCCGAAAGGCGUAGUCGAUGGGAAACGGGUUAAUAUUCCCGUACUUGGUGUUACUGCGAAGGGGGGACGGAGAAGGCUAUGUUGGCCGGGCGACGGUUGUCCCGGUUUAAGCGUGUAGGUGUGUGUUCCAGGUAAAUCCGGUUCACUUUAACACUGAGGCGUGACGACGAGGCACUACGGUGCUGAAGCAACAAAUGCCCUGCUUCCAGGAAAAGCCUCUAAGCAUCAGGUAACAUCAAAUCGUACCCCAAACCGACACAGGUGGUCAGGUAGAGAAUACCAAGGCGCUUGAGAGAACUCGGGUGAAGGAACUAGGCAAAAUGGUGCCGUAACUUCGGGAGAAGGCACGCUGACACGUAGGUGAAGUGAUUUACUCA
rnacentral:rRNA from 1 species